UCACUUCACAUUAAUCCGCCAGCGCCUAUAUAGGGCCUGCCGGUUUCGACCGGCUAUGGCGAUAAAUUGCGGUGUGCAAUAGGCACAACGGACCCGGGGGCAGUACCCGGCGGCUCCACCAUCACCACCUCCCCGCAUUGGGAAGGGCCCUGUUGUCGCAGGGGUGUUGACGGGGCCGAACCAGGAUCGACGUGUGUUGAAAAGCACUGUUUUCGCCCGGGCUGAGUAACCCGUUAAAGGCUCAAAACCCAAUAAGUGCCAACGACAACGAAGCACUUGCUCUCGCUGCGUAAUUCUAGGGGCUAACGCCCUGAAGUUACAAAGUUAGAACGCGGUUGGACCCACCGGUCAACAGAAGCGGAUUCCG
rnacentral:tmRNA from 2 species